rnacentral:lncRNA from 1 species
UCUAGACUUGAACAUUGGGAGAAUAUUAAUGAGAAAAUGAUAAUGUGUCAUAAAAGUUGUCUCUAGCUUGUUAUAUGAGUAAAUAUUGACUAAUGGUUUUGUGGCUUCAUCCAAUGACAAUAUGUUCUACUCGACAAAAGGUCUUGAUAUAAUUGGACUACGAAUAUUUUCCAUUCUUUUGUAAGCAUUCUUAUGGUUAACUUGGACCACAAGAACAUUAAAAUUG